UGGAAUCAACGCAGAGUACGGAGGGAGAAACGACAGCGGGGGAAUCGUCGAGGCGCCGCCGUGUCAACGACAAAGACAGUCACGACGUAACCGGAAAGAUUCGGAGACGCGUCGGUGCUUCGCUCCGGUGGAAACAAAACUUUAGCGGAAGCAGCUGAGCGACAAUCGACCAAGCUCGACUUUUUAAAUGGCCGUUUACCGUCGAACGACUGUGCACUUCCGGGUCCAAUAAAUUCACCCUGUCUCGCAUAACAACGAUACCCCGACAUCGGACGAUCGUUUCCAAACGUAAUUUUGCUUCAUUUUUCUUUUGUUAAUUGCUUUAUAGAUAUAUUGAUUUAAUGGUUGUAAUAUUAAUAGAUAUUCUGUUGUUACUUUUGAUUCGAAUGCCAAUAAUGAAUGUAAUUUACAUUGUUUGACGUGCAUGCCUUUUGUCUCUUUCUCUUUUCUCCUUAUUACAUCGAUCUCUGCUGUCCUGUUAUAAUUAAAAAUAAAACUAUUAUAUAAGUAAACCAAGUCUUUUAAAUAACCAAAUUUCUUUAUCUUGCAGCUUUUAUUCCUUUUAAAACUUAAAUUUAUUGUCUGUGGAGUGUCACAAUUUUUCACUGUUAGAUACACAUUGCCUCGACUCUUUGAUGUCAGAAAUUAGAUUUAAUAUUUAAAACUUCUAGGAGAGAAAAAGUAUACUAAGCUAACAUUUGCCGCAGACUUCGAGACGCCCUUCGAGUAAUGAAUAUUCAUGCCGGCGUAUUUCUAACACUCGGCACGAAAAAAGCGCGAGAAAGGUGGUGGAAAGUAUGAGAAGUCAAAGAGCUCAUGUCAGCGAAAUAACCGAGUAGGACUCUUCUACCGAGAGGAACGCCUCUUAGAAAAACACCACCUAAAGCAACGAGAAACCCGACCCCCGACCCGAACGGACAGCUCAACGUCACGAACUGCUAUUAUCUUGUUCCGAUAAGUUCGCGAAGGCACGUGUUUUCCGAGCCGGCGGGCCGGCGCUACUGAUUAACAAUGUCGCUCGAGAGUUAACAAGCACACUUUCGUUCGCGCGUGAUAAACGAAAGGACUAAACGCAAUCUGGCGUGUAAGUUGCGGAGUUGUCUUCCCGCGCGGUGCUUAUUGUACAAAAAAACUUGCGCGUCCAAUCUCCGAUGUGUUUCAAAAUGUUUUAUAAUUCCCGGGUAACUGAAACUGUAGAAGAUAUACGAUCGAGAUACGCGAAGUGCUACAUGUCCAUGUAAAUGCCGACGAAUGUAUCACUUUCUGGACAGUUAGAUACUCGGGGCGCUCGGAUUUUUAUAUCCCCCGACUUUUAUAAGCCACGGAUCUGGCGGUGCAUGGAACCCUAAACUUGUACACGGUACCCAAGGCGCUUCCAUUACAUUAGAGGCGCGCAUUUUUCUGAUUUACGAGUGAGAGCUGCAGAAGAGGGGAAAAGCGAGUUUCUAGACUUAUAGCUCACUAUCUGGCUAACGCGGCUUGCUUUGGCUUCCCCAGUUUCUUACAUUCUCUCCCCCGAAGCGACUGCUCGUCUUUCCUUUUUUCCAACCCUCGCUCCCCCCCGCCUCUCGCAAGAAUAUCCUAGGGAACCAUAGUCGCCGUUGAAAUGCUUCUCGCCUCGGACACCGUCCUUCCACCGGCAUGUCUGUAUAAUCCGGGGAAUGCUAUUUUCCCUCGCAGGCGUCGACGCCACCCCCCCCCCCUUUCUCCGUAUGUACGCGCGAUGUAGGCGAGGGUGCGUCAGUCGAUGGUGAUGGUGGCGGAUCCCACCGCGCUCCUCUGCCGGUCGUUUCCGGAGCUUUAUCGAAAAAUCCGUCGGAGAAACGGAAAGCUCUCGUGGACGUCCUCGUCGUCUCUUGCGAGGACGUCGGAGGGUCGGAAAAAGACCUCGGCAAGAUGGCGCAUUCGAGACGGAGGGUGAGAGAAAAGGGGGGAAAGGGGGGGGGGAAGGGAGGGAGACCAUCUAGCGAUUUCUUCGCCGGAAAAGAGAAGCCCUCUAUCUCGCCGAGCAAGAUGACCAUUAGGCGAGGGUGGCUUGGCAAGCGUCUUUUUAUUGCACACAUCCAAAGAAGUGUCGCGCUUGUGUGUAUGCUUCGCACUGAAUCCGAUGAAGCGCGAGGAAUACGACACAACUUACGGUAGAAACAAGAAAUCCCUUUACAAAAAUUGUAACAUACAUUCGAACGUAUCCGCCUUACCGUGGAUUCUGUUAUUUGUACAUCGCGCGCAGAAACGUUCGCGCGUUCAAGUCCGCGGACUCUUUUCACAACGACCUGGUAAGCAGUCGUCGUCGUCGUCGUCGUCGUCGUCCGUCUAAUAGAAAAGCGGUUCUUCUUGUGCGCGCGCGCGCCUCGGGAAUUCAGGCCUCCCCCCGUCGCCCUUUGACACGUGGAAUAAAUCUUCCGAAGAGGGUGGAUUUGUCGGGCUGUGGCGUAUAUCAAUAUAUUCGCGGAAUACAAAUAAGCGGGGAGAAGACAGACGACGUACGUAUCGUGUGUCGCGGGGCAAAGCGACAAUAUAGCGACAAGGAAAAGGGAUACCUAGGGUAUCUCGGGUUCAUUGUACCGCUAUCUUCCCUUCCGAUACUUUCUGAUUCGGUCACGCAGAAAACGAUGUCGCGGGGAUAAUAAAUUAGAUGUGUUUCCCCGCCCCUUGCGUCGCGCCGCCUAACGGCGUAACGUCAGCCACGUCGACCCGAUAUCCAAAGCAGAAUUGAAGAAAUUUAUUGUCACCGGGACAAAAUCGCGAGAGCGAGAGAGAGAGCGAGAGAGCGAGAGAGUCCCGUAAAAUUUUACAUAAAGUCGCGUACGUGACGGCGUUAUCGAAUCCGCGGCGAACCGCACUUAUCUGCUCCGUCGAAUCGCUCACCUCGUUUCGUCCGGAACGAAAUGCGCGCCGCGCGACCGUGGAGCGCAUCGAAAUUGGUUCGGAGAUAUUCCCCGCGAACGCGAAAAUCGCCGUAGUGGCAUGCCGACUACCGCGGAACGAGGUAAAUGAUUGUAAUAGAUCUCGUAGAGAAUUUAUGUGCGUCACGAAAGCUUCGCUGUUUUCCCCUUGGGGGAAACAAAUGGUAAAUAUCCCCCUCCAGUUGUCUCGAGAGACAGAGGAGUAAUGAGCUUAGCGUUCAUUGUCAAAAAUUCGGAGAUUUUUGAGGAGUCGUAGAAUGCGUAUUUCAAAAAUCCGUCAGAUCCUCGUCAAAACACAUACAUACUUAAUAGGAUCUGUCUAUGGUAUUUAAAAAUUCAGAUAAAAUAUGCGCGUCUCAUAAUGAAUCUCUCGUCAAAAAUUUACGUGCGCUACGAAAAUCUCUUCGUAUGUUAGAAUAAAUGACAAAACUAGUUGUUAAAAAACAAAGGAGAAUUCACAGUCUAAGAAAUUUUGGAACAAGGAAUAGGCAACAGCAUUAUUAAAAGCGUGUUAAAUUUUUUGGACUCAAAAAUACAGGUUUGAUGUCUAAGUAACUAAAAGAUUAACCAUGACCUAAUCUGGGAAAUAAAUUAUUUAAAAAAUCGUAAAAUUUUUUAUUUUACACUUUGUAUCGACUUCGAUGUUACACCAGUAAAAGUAAAUCUGCUUUUAUGAUAUCGAUUUAACUUAAGAGUGAUGGUCAUCUCUGAGCGGGGAUCAAUCGUGUUUUCAUUUUCCCAGAUUAGGUCAUGGUUAAUUGAAAAAAAUCUUCGGUCGAUCGGUUCGCGUACGCGGUUGUCCGUCCAAUUCGCGGAUUUGACGUUAUUUCAAUUAAAACGAUCGACUGGCACGCAACGGAACGAAACGAUCGCAUGUAAUUGAAAACGAACUGCAUCGAUUCCAACAUCAAUUGCCUCGGGAUACAAUGCCACACGUGAAUGUUCAUCAACUCUUAUCAUAUUAGUGGCGAAUGGCAUUGAGGCUGCAUUAUGAUCGAUUCAAGUUAGAUCGAAUGUCUCCCAUAUUCCACGAACCGGCUGACAUAUCGUAUUUGUAUAAACAUCUUCAUAUAAAAUUUGCGGAUAUUCUCAUUAAAACUCUCUAAAAUACAAAGCGAAUAAAACGUAUCGCAUCAAUAAAAUACCUGAAAAAUAAGACUUUUAACAAAAAAAUUAUUUGGUACAAAAAUUUUUUGAUUUUAAAGAGGACAAUAAAAAUUAGUUUUCAAAAAAAUCAAUUUUUCCAAAUCAUACAAAAAUCGUUUCUUUAAAGUAGAAUUAUAUGUAAAAUUUUAUCUGAUUAUGAAUAAAUCUUUUAUAUGAUUUUAAUUAACUUAAAUAGUUUUAAUUAUAAUAAUCGAAUCUUUCUUUUCAUAAAUAUUUUUCUGAUAACAUUCUUAGAAUUUUCUCCUGCACUACUAUGAACGUACUUCUAAGACAUGUUAUAUACAGAUAAAGUUACUGUUUGCGCGUUGAAGUUCAGGUUUAGCACUCGAUUACACUCGGAUGCGAUCGAUGCACCGAUCCAUGGUAGGGUCGAGAUAUUUCCGGCGGAACUUUGACACGAAGCAAAUCCGAAAUCCGGGAUAACGAGGUCUCACCUCGGUAUUUGUUCGGCCAAUGUCCGGCACCUGAGAACAUUUCGGUUUCUGUAACUACACGGUAAGGUCGUAAGUGCCGCGGCCUUUCUUGCCAUCGGGUCACGCUACAUGAUAUUGCACUCUGCAAUCUCCUCCGACGUGUCAACGCUUACUCUAGUCUCGAAGACAUCCAUGAAAACGAUCAAACGACGGCGUCUUCUCCUCGAAGAACACCUGCGCUGUGAUUUACUUUGUAACAAACUUUCGUCGAGAAUCGGACCGUUUUAAAAUUUCAGUGAUCGUCGAUAAGAGUGAAUUACGAAUUUAUCUCCAAGUUUUCUCACUGAAAAUAUCAAAUUCACCUAAUGGAUUUUCAAUUUAUGGAUGAUUUGAAUUUAUAUAUAACAUUAAUAUUUUUAU